rnacentral:lncRNA from 1 species
GCUGCCCAGUCUUUUGAAAGACAUUUGAAAAUUCAAGAUACAUGUUUACAGAAGAGACAAGCUUGACUUCAUUAUCUAGAGCCAGAACACAUAGUAUCUGUAUAUCCAUGGUGAUUGGGACUAAUGCCAAGAUUUUAAAUAAUACCUCAGACAAUUCAGCUUCAGAGAGAGAAUAGCUUUUGAAAAAUCUAAAAUCUGCCUUAGGAAGGUACAUUUCUCUAAGCAAA